GGGGGGGGGGGGGGGGGGGGGGGGGGGAGGCGGGGCGGGGGGGGAGAGGGGGGGCGGGCUCCUCGGGCGGUAGCGGCGGCCGGGGGGGUAACACGUGGAUAACCUCCCUAUAAGACGGGGCGGACUUCGGGAACCCGGGGCUAGUACCGGAUAAUAUAUUGAACCGCAUGGGUCAAUAGUUAAAGGCGGUUUUGCUGUCACUUAUAGCUGGCUCCGCGCCGCCUUAGCUCUUUGGUCAGGUAACGGCUUACCAAGGCAACGAUGCGUAGCCGACCUGAGAGGGUGAUCGGCCACACUGGAACUGAGACACGGUCCAGACUCCUACGGGAGGCAGCAGUAGGGAAUCUUCCGCAAUGGGCGAAAGCCUGACGGAGCAACGCCGCGUGAGUGACGAAGGUCUUCGGAUCGUAAAACUCUGUUAUGAGGGAAGAACAAAUGUGUAAGUAACUAUGCACGUCUUGACGGUACCUAAUCAGAAAGCCACGGCUAACUACGUG
rnacentral:rRNA from 1 species